rnacentral:rRNA from 1 species
GAUGAACGCUGGCGGCGUGCUUAACACAUGCAAGUCGAACGGAAAGGCUCCUGCUUGCAGGGGUACUCGAGUGGCGAACGGGUGAGUAACACGUGGGUGAUCUGCCCUGCACUUCGGGAUAAGCCUGGGAAACUGGGUCUAAUACCGGAUAGGACGAUGGUUUGGAUGCCAUUGUGGAAAGUUUUUUCGGUGUGGGAUGAGCUCGCGGCCUAUCAGCUUGUUGGUGGGGUAAUGGCCUACCAAGGCGUCGACGGGUCGCCGGCCUGUGAGGGUGUACGGCCACAGUGGGACUGAGAUGCGGCCCAGACUCCUACGGGAGGCAGCAGUGGGGAAUAUUGCACAAUAGGCGCAAGGCUGAUGCAGCGACGCCGCGUGGGGGAUGACGGCCUUCGGGUUGUAAACUCCUUUCGCUAGGGACGAAGCGCAAGUGACGGUACCUGGAGAAGAAGCACCGGCUAACUACGUG